rnacentral:rRNA from 1 species
AACGAACGCUGGCGGCAUGCCUAACACAUGCAAGUCGAACGAGACCUUCGGGUCUAGUGGCGCACGGGUGCGUAGCGCGUGGGAAUCUGCCCUUGGGUUCGGAAUAACAGUUGGAAACGACUGCUAAUACCGGAUGAUGACGUAAGUCCAAAGAUUUAUCGCCCAAGGAUGAGCCCGCGUAGGAUUAGCUAGUUGGUGAGGUAAAGGCUCACCAAGGCGACGAUCCUUAGCUGGUCUGAGAGGAUGAUCAGCCACACUGGGACUGAGACACGGCCCAGACUCCUACGGGAGGCAGCAGUGGGGAAUAUUGGACAAUGGGCGAAAGCCUGAUCCAGCAAUGCCGCGUGAGUGAUGAAGGCCUUAGGGUUGUAAAGCUCUUUUACCCGGGAUGAUAAUGACAGUACCGGGAGAAUAAGCUCCGGCUAACUCCGUG